UUGUCCGGAAUGACUGGGCGUAAAGGGAGUGUAGGCGGCAUAGCAAGUUAGAUGUGAAAGCCCGCAGCUUAACUGCGGAACUGCAUCUAAAACUGUUAAGCUUGAGUGCAGGAGAGGUAAGUGGAAUUCCUAGUGUAGCGGUGGAAUGCGUAGAUAUCAGGAGGAACAUCAGAGGCGAAGGCGACUUACUGGACUGUAACUGACGCUGAGGCUCGAAAGCGUGGGGAGCAAACAGGAUUAGAUACCCUGGUAGUCCACGCCCUAAACGAUGGAUACUAGACGAGGCGGAACACAAAGUCUGCCGUGUCGAAGCAAACGCGAUAAGUAUCCCGCCUGAGGAGUACGGCCGCAAGGUUGAAACUCAAAGAAAUUGACGGGGACCCGCACAAGCAGCGGAGCAUGUGGUUUAA
rnacentral:rRNA from 1 species